ACAGUCUCUCUGCUGGACCCUAUGCACAUGCCAGGGACAGAAAACAUGAAGAGGGUGGAGACUUGCCUGCUUGUUCACUGACUGGAGCUGUGAGGGGAGCAAAAGCCAGAGGUUAGCCCAGAAUAGUUGUCUUCAUUUAUGAUGAUUGGAUUCACCGAAGAUGACCAACAGCGACCACAGCCACAUGAGGACUUGGUCCAGCUACCAUCUGGGAUCUGAAUAAAGGUGUGUACAUAUGGGGUUUGGGACUACUGGCAGUUUCAGGCAUCCAUGCGGUUCUCAGAAAGCUUUCCCCAUAGGCAAGGGGAAGUCAACUGUAUUGUCCUCUGCUCAGGAUCCAUGUCCAGGUAGAUUCAAGUUGCCUUUUUAGAUCAUAUGCAGCAUGAAACUGUAAAUGACAAUGUUGUAGGUGGAGGCUGACUGAUCAUGAAACAUUUGUAGACUUGAUGCAUAUGGUUGGGGACACUUCACAUUUCACUGCUCCUAAUGCUGUAGUUUUGUUUUGGGGAAAUACAGAUGCUUCCCUAUGAUCCUGCUCAUCCUCUUGCUUAUAAUAAUACAAAAAGGAAACACUGAAAAUACUCAAAAAGGGAAGAUUUAAAAACAAAUGGUAUAUCAAAACUUUGUGGAAUGAGAAGCAACUAUUAAAAUGAUUCUGUAGAAGAUGCUUUCAUAGCAAAAUAAGACGCUUAGGACAUACUGCUAAGAGCAAAGGAGCCAUAGAAUGCACUUUAUCUGUACCACACUGCCUGCCUUGCCCGGCAGUAUCGGAAAGGUGUUGGAGCAGAAAACACCAAAGCAUUGGGGUAACUGUAACUGAAAAACAUGGAAUUAAAGGUGGCUUUAUUUU